CUCGUUUUCUUUAUCACAGGAGUCAAGUCGCUUCGAGACGAGUCUAGGAAUGCAGAUUACCUUUUGCCUCUGUUGUGGAAAGGUGAAUGGUUUGGGGAACGAAUGAAUUCCACUUCCAAUAUCUUUCACGAACACGAAGAGGAAGAUAAAAGAGAAUAGUCGAGCAAAACGUGCAGGGGAUACGAAUGUCGCCUUCGAAAUAUCCAAAAUGACGGAGAAGAGUAAAGCUUGUACCGAAUUUACUACAAGACCGCAAUCAGCUGAUGUU